rnacentral:rRNA from 1 species
AGGACGAACGCUGGCGGCGUGCUUAACACAUGCAAGUCGAACGGAAAGGCCCUUUCGGGGGUACUCGAGUGGCGAACGGGUGAGUAACACGUAGGUGAUCUGCCCUGCACUCUGGGAUAAGCCUGGGAAACUGGGUCUAAUACUGGAUAUGACCAUGGCAUGCAUGUGCUGUGGUGGAAAGCUUUUGCGGUGUGGGAUGGGCCCGCGGCCUAUCAGCUUGUUGGUGGGGUUUUGGCCUACCAAGGCGACGACAGGUAGCCGGCCUGAGAGGGUGUCCGGCCACACUGGGACUGAGAUACGGCCCAGACUCCUACGGGAGGCAGCAGUGGGGAAUAUUGCACAAUGGGCGCAAGCCUGAUGCAGCGACGCCGCGUGAGGGAUGACGGCCUUCGGGUUGUAAACCUCUUUCAGCACAGCGAAGCGCAAGUGACGGUAUGUGCAGAAGAAGCACCGGCCAACUACGUGCCAGCAGCCG